rnacentral:lncRNA from 1 species
AAAUUAUCACCUUCAAAGUUGUCAGGACUGCAAGAAAAAUGUUUCUGUUUCCCAAAGUGGAGGGCAUGGUGCCAUAACAAUGGUUUGCAAUGAAUUUGGUCUUCUCUGCUUAUAGUUUUUCAGAAUCUUCAGACUGAUCCAAUUAUGUUCAACUGGUAAAUUUGCCCUGGUUUUAUCUUCUUCUACCCUUUUCUUGCAUAAUGACCUAUAAAUUCUAACUUUUUUCUAUGACCAAUCUGAUUAUUACAUGAAGUAAUGCCUAUAAGCUAGUAAUCUACAUAGUUUUUAAUGGUACCAUUUUUCCAGGCACUGUUCUCUUUUCACCCUUAUAACAACAUCAGCAACCUCCUGUAACAGAUGAGAAAACUCCUAGAUAUAUUACAUUAUGUUCACAUUCACACACAGUAAAGGAAAAAAUUAUGUCUUGGACCCAGAGCUAUUCUAUUUUGGUCUGCUAAAAACAAGAAGUGACUAAUUCAGUCCUUCAUUCACUAAUUUCUUUAUUCAUUCAUUCACACUGAGCACCUGUUGUAUGCCAGCUUUACUUAAGAUAUUCAAGGUAUUCAAGGGCAUAUAAAGCUAUUUAGAAAGCAAGCCUUUCCAUCAAGGAGUUCACAAUCUUUAAUUAAUUAAAUUUUUUAAAAUGUUAAGUCAGCCUUCUUCGUGUGAUGAAAUCACCUCCUCCUAGUGUUUAAUAUCCUUGAGUAUACUUGUCUAAAAUGGUGCACUCUUUUAGCUUACCUUUUGCAACUGAGAAGAGCAUAGUUACUUUUUAAAACUAAUUCUGUAGAUAGAUAGUUACUACAGGAAUGAUUUCAUAUAGGUUUUACCUUAUCAUCCCCAGUUAAUCCAAUAAUUAGGUGGAUUAGAUAGACUCUCAGCUGUUUUUCUAAAAAAUAGAUAAAAGUAAUAUGGGAAGUCAGGUAAGUAGUGGUUACAGUGUUUUUUUUUUUUUUUAAUUUUUGCUUUACAGUUGAUCUACAAUGUUCUGUCAAUUCUGCUGUACGGCAAAGUGACCCAGUUACAUAUGUAUAUACAUUCUGUUUCUCAUAUACAGUCUUUUUUAAUCCACUAAUCAAAUGGCUUGGAGUUAAAUUCACGGAUUGCUCUGGAAGUGUGGGAAGAUGCAGCACAAGAAUCAGGUGCCAUUUUUGGAAAAUAUUCAUGGAAAAUGGAGAGAACUCUCCGGACUCCAGAUCCAGAGAUACAUGCCCUUUAGCUUUGGAGUUUGGAUGUUACUGUCUCAUUAACUAAUCCAGGAAGCUGAGGCAUCACAUAAGGGUAAAGGGAUUGGAGGUCUCACAAACACUGAGACUCAGGGUCAUACCCCAUGUCAAUGGGAUCAAAUAGCUUUUGCCUCUAAACCAGAAAGGACAAUGAAGACUCUAGCAGAAAAUUUACUAUAAGAAAUAGAGAUUUUGAAUCAAAAGGCUAGACUCAUCACCAAGAUAUAAAUGAGGCUUUCUACAGGUAUCUGCUCAACUGAAUUUUCACAGCUCUGGCCGGGAGGUGGUUAUAGAGCCUGGAAGAAAAGGUCAAUUGGGUGUUUUGAAAUCGCAGAGCCUAGGACUUACUCAGCAACACUGAUCAGUGUCCCAUGAAUUUAUGAGACCAUUUGAGGGAGGAGGCCUUCAAGAAAAGACCUGUGAGUCAGCCACAACCCCCAUCCAUCAGCUCAAGUGGUCAUUUUUCCAUCACAGGCUUGUGUAACCCGGGAACCACAGGUCUGUUCUCAUCCAUCCUCUGUGUCUCCUUCCCUCCUGAGCAUAUUCAGCUGAGACUGCACAGGCCCUUGUUAGAGUCACCCUCUCACAAAUGCCUCCCGAGGGAACUGAAACCCUGUGUACCUGUCCAAGAAACUCAGGCCCCUCUCUCCCUCACUACAGGUAACCACUUGAACCUACCAUUACCUUGGUAAUGUCUUUAAUACUAUUUUUAGUGCUAUUACUACUUAUGCAUGC